GUUGUCUCUCCUGCUGGAGCAAGAACCCAGGCAUCUCCCUCACGAGUCGCGUGCUUGCUAUCUCUCCUGCUGGAAGCAAGAACCCAGGCAUCUCCCUCACGAGUCGCGCGCUUACUAACUCUCCUACUGGAAGCACGAAACCAGGCCAGAGUAUUCGAAACUGUGAGGAGCUAAUUCCUCUUAAUUGGUAAGAUCAAUAAAUUACCCAAAUAAGAUGGAUUUCGGAAAAAAAGGGGCUUGAUUUCUUGGACUUGAGUGAGAACCAGCUUGAAGGCAUGCACUUAGACUCUGAUCUAGUGAUGUUAAGCUUGAAGGAAAUUGGAAAACUCAAGGUGAAAUAUUUUCAUACAAGUAUGCUUCAUUUAUAAUCAUGAAAUUCUUUUAUGUAUAUG